AUUGAACGCUGGCGGCAUGCCUUACACAUGCAAGUCGAACGGUAACAGGUUAAGCUGACGAGUGGCGAACGGGUGAGUAAUGUAUCGGAACGUGCCCAGUCGUGGGGGAUAACUACUCGAAAGAGUGGCUAAUACCGCAUACGACCUGAGGGUGAAAGCGGGGGACCGUAAGGCCUCGCGCGAUUGGAGCGGCCGAUAUCAGAUUAGCUAGUUGGUGGGGUAAAAGCCCACCAAGGCGACGACCUGUAGCUGGUCUGAGAGGACGACCAGCCACACUGGUACGGAGGCACGGCCCAGACUCUUCCGCGAGGCAGCAGUGGGGAAUUUUGGACAAUGGACGCAAGUCUGAUCCAGCCAUGCCGCGUGCGGGAAGAAGGCCUUCGGGUUGUAAACCGCUUUUGUCAGGGAAGAAACGAGUUUCUCUAAUACAGCGACUUAAUGACGGUACCUGAAGAAUAAGCACCGGCUAACUACGUGCCAGCCGCCGCAGUAACAC
rnacentral:rRNA from 1 species